GGAUUGUUAGUUUAAGUUAGUAAAAUACUGGUUUUGUAUACACCUCCCCUUAAAUAAAUCAGAGAUGUGAGUUCGAAUCUCACACAAUCCU
rnacentral:tRNA from 3 species